rnacentral:rRNA from 1 species
UACGUAGGGACCAAGCGUUGUUCGGAUUUACUGGGCGUAAAGGGUGCGUAGGUGGUUGGGCAAGUCUGAUGUGAAAUCUCCGGGCUUAACCCGGAAAUGGCAUUGGAAACUGCCUGGCUAGAGUGUUGGAGGGGGGACUGGAAUUCUCGGUGUAGCAGUGAAAUGCGUAGAUAUCGAGAGGAACACCAGUGGCGAAGGCGAGUCCCUGGACAACGACUGACACUGAGGCACGAAAGCUAGGGGAGCAAACAGG